rnacentral:rRNA from 1 species
UACGUCGGGCGCAAGCGUUGUCCGGAAUUAUUGGGCGUAAAGAGCUCGUAGGCGGCUUGUCACGUCGGGUGUGAAAGCCCGGGGCUUAACCCCGGGUCUGCAUUCGAUACGGGCUGGCUAGAGUGUGGUAGGGGAGAUCGGAAUUCCUGGUGUAGCGGUGAAAUGCGCAGAUAUCAGGAGGAACACCGGUGGCGAAGGCGGAUCUCUGGGCCUGUACUGACGCUGAGGAGCGAAAGCGUGGGGAGCGAACAGG